GCUUACGGCCAUACCACCCUGAACACGCCCGAUCUCAGGAAGCUAAGCAGCAGGGUCGGGCCUGGUUAGUACUUGGAUGGGAGACCGCCUGGGAAUACCAGGUGCUGUAAGCU
rnacentral:rRNA from 1 species